UACGGAGGGUGCGAGCGUUAUCCGGAUUCACUGGGUUUAAAGGGUGCGUAGGUGGGAAUGUAAGUCAGUGGUGAAAUCUCCGGGCUUAACCUGGAAACUGCCAUUGAUACUAUGUUUCUUGAAUUUUCUGGAGGAUAGCGGAAUAUGUCAUGUAGCGGUGAAAUGCUUAGAUAUGACAUAGAACACCGAUUGCGAAGGCAGCUAUCUACAGGGAUAUUGACACUGAUGCACGAAAGCGUGGGGAUCAAACAGG
rnacentral:rRNA from 1 species